AACUGUCAUAAUCAUGAUCAUCUUCUUCUUCUUCUUCUUCUUUAUUACAGGCCGCCUGAUCAGGAAGAGGAAGUCGUUGAGGCCUUCUACAGACAGCUGGAAGUAGCCUCACGAUCCCAGGCCCUGGUUCUCAUGGGGGACUUCAACCACCCCGAUAUCUGCUGGAAAGACAACACAGCUAGGCACAAACAGUCCUGGAGGUUCCUGCAGAGCAUUGGUGACAACUUCUUGACACAGGUGGUGGAGGAGCCAACAAGGAGAGGUGUGCUGCUGGACCUCAUACUAACAAACAAAGAAGGACUGGUGGAAGAUGUGAAGGUCGGGGGCAGCCUUGGCUGCAGUGACCAUGAGAUGGUGGAGUUCAGGAUCCUGCGAGGAGGAGGCAGGGCACCGAGUAGGAUCGCAACCCUGGACUUCAGGAGAGCAAACUUUGGCCUCUUCAGGGACCUACUUGGAGGAAUCCCAUGGGUKAGGGCCCUAGAAGGAAGGGGUGUUCAAGAGAGCUGGUUAAUAUUCAAACAUCACCUCCUCCAGGCUCAAGAGCGGUGCAUCCCUAUGAGUAGGAAGUCAAGCAAAGGAGGUAGGAGACCUGCAUGGAUGAGCAAGGAGCUCCUGGCAAAACUCAGCCAGAAGAAGGAAGUCUACAGAAAGUGGAAAGGGGGACAGGCCACUUGGGAGGAAUAUAGGAAUGUUGUCAGAGUAUGCAGGGAUGCGACGAGGAAGGCUAAGGCCCGUUUGGAAUUAAAUCUGGCGAGAGAUGUCAAGGACAACAAGAAGGGCUUCUUCAAAUACAUCAGUAGCAAGAGGAAGACUAGGGAAAAUGUGGGCCCUUUGCUGAAUGGGGUGGGUGCCCUGGUGACGAAGGAUGCAGAGAAGGCAGAGUUACUGAAUGCCGCCUUUGCUUCAGUCUUUCCUGCUCAGGCCAGCCCUCAGGAACCCCAGAUUCUGGAGGCAAGAGAGAAAGUCUGGAGGAAGGAAGACUUUCCCUUGGUGGAGGAAGAUCGGGUUAGAGAUCACUUAAGCAAACUUGACACCCACAAAUCCAUGGGCCCGAUGGGAUGCACCCACGAGUGCUGAGGGAGCUGGCGGAUGUCAUUGCUAAGCCACUCUCCAUCAUCUUUGAAAGGUCAUGGAGAAGAGGAGAGGUGCCUGAGGACUGGAAGAAAGCCAAUGYCACCCCAGUCUUCAAACAGGGCAAGAAGGA
rnacentral:lncRNA from 1 species